UAGAGUCUUAAUAUGUGGUUUUAACGUGUUAAUAGUCAUGUGAGUGGUUCCUACCCAGUCUGGUGAGGUGAGCCUUUUUGCUAGGUAUGUCUUUGUAUAUGGCUGCAUAUUGUGUUUGUGGAAGAGGUGCAAACAACUAUGUCACAGUAAUCAAAGGUGUAUGUAGCUACAUCUGUGUUAGAAGAAUUGUACCAGAAAAGUGUAAACAUGAUUAUCUUUGGUUAUGGCCACUUGUUGGGCCCAGGCAAAGUGUAGCAGCAUAAGAAAACACAAGACACAUAAUAAAUUCAUAUUUCAGCAAGAUUAGCCUCUUCUGGAGCAGGCACUUUUUUGUAAUGUGAGGCGUGUAUCCAAGAACUCUUCCCGGCUAGUUUAACUGACGUUGCUGUAAUCAGGAGCACUUGAUAUGGGCCAUCAAAUCUUGGUUUUAGGGUGUGUUUCCUGAGAAACUUCUUGACCAUAACCCAAUCACCAGGAAGCAGCUUGUGUGUACCUGUAUUUGACUCAGGAUCUGGAAUAGAAGAAAACACUUGGGCAUGUAUUUUGGUCAAGGCAUGUGAGAGGGCAGUCACAUAGUCUACCAUAGCAUCUGACUGAAUCUGAAGCUGUUGGGGAAAGUAACAACCUAACCUGGGUGCUGUACCAAACAAAAUCUCAUAAGGUGAUAGGCUAUAUUUUCCCCUAGGAUUGUACCUUACACUAAACAACGCUAAUGGGAGACUCUCGGGCCAGGGCAUGUUAGUUUCUUGUGACAUUUGAAGCAUUCUGGCUUUCAAAGUGCCAUUCAUGCGCUCUACCUUACCACUACCCUGUGGGUGAUAUGGUGUGUGGAAUGCAAGGGUCACCCCCAGUGCUGGCCAGACUUCCCGUGUUAGUGAGGCAGUGAAGGAGGUCCCUUGGUCACUUUCAAUUACUUCUGGAACUCCAUAGCGGCAAACAAUUUCUGUCAAGAGAUACUUGGCUGUAGUCCUCGCGGUGAGAUUAGUCACUGGGAAGGCCUCUGGCCAACCUGAAAACAUGUCCACUAUAACCAAUGCAUAUUCAUAACGUCCACUCUUUGGCAUCUGAAUGUGAUCAAUCUGGAUCCUCUGGAAGGGGUAUUGUGGUUUAGCUAGAUGAUUAGGUGCAGUCUUUAUAAUCUUUCCAGGAUUGCAUUUAGCACAUAUAGUACAAGAUUUACAGUAAUUCUGUGUUAAGGUAGUGAUGCCUGGUGCUUCAAAAUACUUAUCAAUCAAUGAGUUCAUCAGAUGUUUUGACAGGUGGGCUGGCCCAUGGGCCCAUUGGACCACCGCUGGAUACAUAUUUCUGGGUAGGCAAAACUUGAGAUUGAUAGUGUAAACAUCAUCACGGAGUACAGCUCCUUUGUUCUUCCAACUUUGUUUCUCCUGGGGAGUAGCAGCAGCUCGUUGUUCCUUUAGAAGCCUAAGAUCUGUAGGCAGUGUCUGCAUAGUGUAGAUGGGUACUGCAUCUGUGGCCACUCUUCUGUCCACUUCCCAUCCUUGUCGUGCUGCUUCCUUAGCGGCCUGAUCAGCUAAGUGGGGAAAUAUCAGGGUCACAGUCUAUGAUGAGU
rnacentral:lncRNA from 1 species